CACGACGUCCCUCCAGAAUUUCACGUUUCAACAUACAGUUCGUCUACGUUAUGAAUUUGAUGGUUCCUACCCGUGAUCAGUGGACUGCAGCGGUUCAUGGCUCUGCGCAACAAAAGGCAUACCGCCUCCAUGCUAACAGGAUGAGGAUGGUUGAUAGAAUUCACAAGCAUCCUCUGGUUUUCUUCUCGCCCAGAAUGGUCAAAGAACCCAUGCAGCCCACCCAGGGACGACAAGAUUUGUUGUGGAAAUUUGACAAACACAAGUGGACCCGUCCUUAAGAAAGCAAACAGUGUCUUUUAUUGAAGCAUAUCAACAACAUGAGAAGAGAGGAAAAGAAAAGAGCACUCUGUCUUUUUCUCACAGCUCCAUUUAUACAGUGACCUUCUGGGUAUCUGUGAGUGUGUGCGAACACAAGCAUGCAGCUAUGUGUCUCAAUCAGAGAAAGCUAAACACAUUUCUGACAAACAACAAACAGGUUACACCCUUUGUUCAGAACAUUAUGUACAAGGUCCUGGCUUACAAAGUUAUGAGUCUAACAAAGUCAUCUACUUCAGACAUGUUUAUACAGAAGAAUGAAUAGAGUACAAUAAUGAAUUUCUCUCACAAGAUACAGCCUCAGAUUCAUUUUUGUGCGUUCUUCAAAUUCAUUGAAUACUUUUAAAAAUGUAUGUUUUCAAAACAUUUAUGAAUAGCAGAUAGGAAGUUUGCUCAAUCAUGACAUAAUUGGUAUAAUUGUUCUUGCCAUGAACCACGGAAUCUAUCAAGACCAGUCUCAUGACAGUAGGCAAAAGGAGUCAAUAGG